UGGAAUUGGCUUACACUCGCCACAAGCUACAUCAGAGUCACAUCAGUACAUUACAUAAUCAUGAAGAGUAAGACCAGGGUCCGACUACGGACGAAAAGAAACGAGAAAAAUAAGAACGACGUCCAUCCUUGCUAUACCAGGCUGCCGGCCUGGAACCCAUCCUAGAUCGAUGAAGAAGAAGAAGAAGAAGCAACUCCAAAUAAACAAUCAACGCGCUCGUGUCAAGUAACCUUUACCUGUACCUGCAACUGGUGUUGUAGUAAUCUGUGAGCCACAGGGGACUCAGCAAUCUCAUUUCCAAAGGUAUCAAGACUAACAAAGCUUAAUGGGUGAGUUAUGGUUAGUGGUGAGGUUGCAGCAGCGGCUAAGCAUAUAUUUGGUGGCUAAACUUACGAGUACAAGAAUUAGAGGGGGGAAGAUCUACGCAUAACGGACGUGACUACUGAUGAUCAAAUGAAUGAUCCUGAACACAUACCUACGUCAGACAUAAC
rnacentral:lncRNA from 1 species